UACAUAGGGGGCGAGCGUUAUCCGGAAUGACUGGGCGUAAAGGGUGUGUAGGCGGUUUUGUAAGUUGGAAGUGUAAUACCUAGAGCUUAACUCAGGUGCUGCUUCCAAUACUGUAGAACUUGAGUGCAGGAGAGGAUGAUGGAAUUCCUAGUGUAGCGGUGGAAUGCAUAGAUAUUAGGAGGAACACCAGAGGCGAAAGCGAUCAUCUAGACUGCAACUGACGCUGAGACACGAAAGCGUGGGUAGCAAA
rnacentral:rRNA from 1 species